rnacentral:rRNA from 1 species
CCUACGGGAUGCUGCAGUAGGGAAUAUUGCUCAAUGGGGGAAACCCUGAAGCAGCAACGCCGCGUGGAGGAUGAAGGUUUUCGGAUUGUAAACUCCUUUUGUUAGAGAAGAUAAUGACGGUAUCUAACGAAUAAGCACCGGCUAACUCCGUGCCAGCAGCCGCGGUAAUACGGAGGGUGCCAGCGUUACUCGGAAUCACUGGGCGUAAAGAGCGUGUAGGCGGGUUAGCGAGUCAGAUGUGAAAUCCUAGGGCUUAACCAUAGAACUGCAUUUGAAACUGUUAUUCUAGAGUAUGGGAGAGGUAGGUGGAAUUCGUGGUGUAGGGGUGAAAUGCGUAGAGAUCAAGAGGAAUACUGAUUGCGAAGGCGACCUGCUAGAACAUGACUGACGCUGAUGCGCGAAAGCGUGGGGAGCAAACAGGAUUAGAUACCCGAGUAGUC